GGGCUCCCCUGAUCACAUCCCCUGUGUUCAGCCCUUAGGACUACUUGUAGGAUGGUCUCUCACUUUUCUCUGUCUCCCUCCCAGAGUGGAUGUCCCCAUGCUCGCCAGUGCUCCUCAACGUGGAGCCAGAAGGUGCUCAGCAACCAUCGUUGAUGAGUGAAUGUGUUAAGGGUCCUGGGUGCUCAGAACAUGCUGAGCUUGGGGCACCUGUUCUCCGCCCAGACCCCUGGGAGCCUGUGGGUGGUAGGAAGCACAGCCCACCGAUGAGCUCCAAGGAUGCUCGGUGCCCGGAAUCAGGGCGGGGCUGGAACCUGAGACACCCCAUCCCGGGACACCCCCACCCCAUGUCUCAGAGGCAGCAUGACCCGGAGCUGCUCUGACCUGCCCCCCAGGUGCACCGCAGCGCCUUCCCCCUGUGCUGUGGCCGCCAAUGGGCCGGUGGCUGGCCGACUGGCCAUCAUGGGUGUGGUGGGGGGAAUGUCCCCUUCUUUUGUUCCCUCUGGAGUCUGGUGUCCCUUCAGGGGGGCAUGGCAGCUACCUGCCCAUCCCUGGUUCCUUCUCACCGUGCUUCUGACCCUGACUUCUAUUGAACUCUGGCACCAAGAAGCCCUUUCUUCCAUGGAGAUGACUGCCCUCAGCUCCAGCCAGGUGGUCCUGCCUGUGGAGGGUGGUCUUCUCAAGUUUCCCUACCUGCACUGGUCACUCCAUCGCCACCUGGUGUCCUGAAGAUGCAGCCCCUACUGCCCGUGUGGACAGCCUGUGACAGCCAUGUGUUUGCUUGGGCAAGAGCCAACUGUGUUACACAUAUAUUAAAAGAUAUUUGGCAACAAA